UAAUACGUAGGGUGCGAGCGUUAAUCGGAAUUACUGGGCGUAAAGGGUGCGUAGGCGGUUUGUCGUGUCUGGUGUGAAAUCCCCGGGCUCAACCUGGGAAUGGCAUUGGAAACUGGCAGACUAGAGUGUGGCAGAGGGAGGUGGAAUUCCGCGUGUAGCAGUGAAAUGCGUAGAGAUGCGGAGGAACACCGAUGGCGAAGGCAGCCUCCUGGGCUAACACUGACGCUGAGGCACGAAAGCGUGGGGAGCAAACAGGAUUAGAUACCCUGGUAGUCCACGCCCUAAACGAUGUCGACUGGGUGUUGGGGAAGUGAUUCCUCAGUGCCGAAGCUAACGCGUGAAGUCGACCGCCUGGGGAGUACGGCCGCAAGGUUA
rnacentral:rRNA from 1 species